UUGAAUCAGCUUUAACGUUAUUGCUUUAUUAACGUUGCAGCUUGGAGCAGGACCGUUGGAGCCUAAUGCCAGCUACACUAGCUGUUGGGAGAUUCAUACAAUGAUCUUACAGGAAGGAUUCAUACAAAUAGCUAACCUCAGAGGGCAUUUCAAGCCUCCAACUGAAGGAAAAAGAAUGCGAGAAUAAAAUGAGGGCAAGAGAGGGAAUAGGAUUUGCAUUGGGGUGUUGUGUCAGAGUGGAGUGUUAAUGGAUCUGCAUUGUAUUGUUGUGUCAUUGGACAAAAGGAUUCAUACAGUGGUAAUCUAUACGGCCAUUGGGAGAUUCACACAAUAAUUUAUACGGCCUUCAAAUGAAGGAAAAAGAAGGGGCGAAUAAAACCAGGGCAAGAGAGGGAACUGGCAGUGGGACUGGAAUCUGUGUUUAAUCUUGUUAUUGGAGUGUUACAUCAUUCCAAAAUAUUUAUCAGAAGGUGCUUACAGCUGAUGGAUGGCAACAUGAAAUGAUUUAUCUCUUUGAAAGAUUUAGAAAUAAGUCCCAGCUGAAGAUCCAAAUAUGCAAUGAACUUCUUCAUUCGUAAAGGCAUUGUUCCUAUAAAGGGCUUGACAGCGAGACAGUGAGCUGGUUGUGAUUAAUCACUGACAGUUUAAAAAAAGGUUUUGACAAGUGAGAGCUUGAACACAGCGGAUUCGUUGGAGGAGUUGUUCACAACAAUGAGAACAUGAACAUAACUCCUAUUAAGGGAUCAACUUAUGGUAUUGUUUAAUAGUGGAAUAGAAGUACAAAAUAUGUAACAUUCAUUUUGAAUUGAUUACUUUUAUUUAUUGUAAACAUUCAUCAACAAUUAUAAUUAAUAAAUGUACACC